AUUGAACGCUGGCGGCAGGCCUAACACAUGCAAGUCGAACGAGUGGCGGACGGGUGAGUAAUAUCUGGGACACUGUCCGAUGGAGGGGGAUAACUACUGGAAACGGUAGCUAAUACCGCAUACCAUCUGAUGUGCCCCGAUGGGAUUAGCUUUUGGGUGUGGUAACGGCUCACCUAGGCGCGGCUCCCUAGCUGGUCUGAGAGGAUGACCAGCCACACUGGAACGGAGACACGGUCCAGACUCCUACGGGAGGCAGCAGUGGGGAAUAUUGCACAAUGGGCGCAAGCCUGAUACAGCCAUGCCGCGUGUAUGAAGAAGGCCUUCGGGUUGUAAAGUACUUUCAGCGGGGAGGCGUUACCCGCAGAAGAAGCACCGGCUAACUCCGUGCCAGCAGCCGCGGUAAUUC
rnacentral:rRNA from 1 species